rnacentral:rRNA from 1 species
AAAUCCGGUUCACUUUAACACUGAGGCGUGACGACGAGGCACUACGGUGCUGAAGCAACAAAUGCCCUGCUUCCAGGAAAAGCCUCUAAGCAUCAGGUAACAUCAAAUCGUACCCCAAACCGACACAGGUGGUCAGGUAGAGAAUACCAAGGCGCUUGAGAGAACUCGGGUGAAGGAACUAGGCAAAAUGGUGCCGUAACUUCGGGAGAAGGCACGCUGACACGUAGGUGAAGUGAUUUACUCAUGGAGCUGAAGUCAGUCGAAGAUACCAGCUGGCUGCAACUGUUUAUUAAAAACACAGCACUGUGCAAACACGAAAGUGGACGUAUACGGUGUGACGCCUGCCCGGUGCCGGAAGGUUAAUUGAUGGGGUCAGCGCAAGCGAAGCUCCUGAUCGAAGCCCCGGUAAACGGCGGCCGUAACUAUAACGGUCCUAAGGUAGCGAAAUUCCUUGUCGGGUAAGUUCCGACCUGCACGAAUGGCGUAAUGAUGGCCAGGCUGUCUCCACCCGAGACUCAGUGAAAUUGAACUCGCUGUGAAGAUGCAGUGUACCCGCGGCAAGACGGAAAGACCCCGUGAACCUUUACUAUAGCUUGACACUGAACAUUGAGCCUUGAUGUGUAGGAUAGGUGGGAGGCUUUGAAGUGUGGACGCCAGUCUGCAUGGAGCCGACCUUGAAAUACCACCCUUUAAUGUUUGAUGUUCUAACGUGGACCCGUUACCCGGGUUGCGGACAGUGUCUGGUGGGUAGUUUGACUGGGGCGGUCUCCUCCUAAAGAGUAACGGAGGAGCACUAAGGUUGGCUAAUCCUGGUCGGACAUCAGGAGGUUAGUGCAAUGGCAUAAGCCAGCUUGACUGCGAGCGUGACGGCGCGAGCAGGUGCGAAAGCAGGUCAUAGUGAUCCGGUGGUUCUGAAUGGAAGGGCCAUCGCUCAACGGAUAAAAGGUACUCCGGGGAUAACAGGCUGAUACCGCCCAAGAGUUCAUAUCGACGGCGGUGUUUGGCACCUCGAUGUCGGCUCAUCACAUCCUGGGGCUGAAGUAGGUCCCAAGGGUAUGGCUGUUCGCCAUUUAAAGUGGUACGCGAGCUGGGUUUAGAACGUCGUGAGACAGUUCGGUCCCUAUCUGUCGUGGGCGCUGGAGAACUGAGGGGGGCUGCUCCUAGUACGAGAGGACCGGAGUGGACGCAUCACUGGUGUUCGGGUUGUCAUGCCAAUGGCACUGCCCGGUAGCUAAAUGCGGAAGAGAUAAGUGCUGAAAGCAUCUAAGCACGAAACUUGCCCCGAGAUGAGUUCUCCCUGAGACUUAGAGUCUCCUGAAGGAACGUUGAAGACGACGACGUUGAUAGGCCGGGUGUGUAAGCGCAGCGAUGCGUUGAGCUAACCGGUACUAAUGAACCGUGAGGCUUAACCUU